CACUUUAACUAUAGAUAUAAAACAGAGCUUCAAAUUCACCCUGUACAGCGCAAAUACGAACCAUAACACACAGCAAUAAUUUUAUUUCUUUAUUAGCGAUAUAAAAACACAAAACAAACAUACAGCUCUGGCAAAAAUGAAGAGAGCACUUCAGUUUCUGAAUCAGUUUCUCUGAUUUUGCUAUUUAUAGGUUUAUGUUUGAGUAAAAUGAACAUUGUUGUUUUAUUCUAUAAACUACAGACAACAUUUCUCCCAAAUUCCAAAUAAAAAUAUUCUCAUUUAGAGCAUUUAUUUGCGGAAAAUGAGGAAUGGCUGAAAUAACAAAAAAGAUGCAGAACUUUCAGACCUCAAAUAAUGCAAAAAAAAAAAAAAAAAAAAAAAGUU